GGGAAAGCAACAAUCAGCGACUAUCUAUCAAACAGGGCUGUCUAAUGAAGAGAGCAAAUGCUGUGCGGUGCACAUUAGGAGAAGAUCAGUCCAGCUAUUCAUCCAGCUGUACUGCAGACACACAAACCCUUACUGCAGAAGUAUGACACUACUCAAAGUCGUGGCAGCUUGUGAAACCGAUAGGAAACAUCUAUGGACUGCAUUUUGGUUCCUCAAGCUCUUUUGAUGCUGCACAGCUUUGCACAAUAGGGUAGGGUGCAGCUCAGACCCAUUGUGACAGAUCAGGUCCGCUAGAACCCUCCGGCAUGCUGAAUUAAUAUCCCAGGCUGCCACCCACGUCCGUCUGCCAUCACAGCAUCCCUCAAUCCAUGUCCAUCUUGGAGAAAUCACGUUGGUAAAUGACCUCUAAUAACACCAGAGGUCAUAAACGUAUUAAGGAAUAUUCUAAAUUCAAUACAAAUUAAGUUAAAUUGACAGCAUUUGUGGCAUAAUGUUGUUUACCACACACACACACAAAAAAGAAAUGAGGCACUGAAAAGUAGAAAAGUAAGGCACUUGCAUAAAUAAUACACAAGUUUUAAUGAAUUAAAAAUUAAAGUUAUUAAAAGGUUUUCAUCAUUUUUACAGACAUUUUAGGGUUUUGCCAUGUGUUGUUUUUGUUUACAUCUUGUGUGGGUAUACUUUGGAAACCAUGAGAAUUUAUUUUCUUUUAUUUAUUUAUUUUUUGUAAUCCACAUUAUGCCACAAGUGUUGUCAAACAUCUAAACCAGGAAUAAAUAUAGAUAUAAGUUCUUCCACCACAGAAGAUCUAAAAGAAAAAAAUGCCAGGCCAAUUUUUUGAGGAAUUUAAAAGCAUAAAUGUGAAGGCCUUUUUUUUUUUUUUAAAGGCACUUACAUAGAUAAUACACAAGUUGUAAUAAUAAAAUUAAAGUUGUUAAAGUACUGUAAUAUUUUUUUACAACCAUUUUAGGCAUUAUUUUGUUGUUCUUGUGGGCAUAUUUUGGAAACCGAUUUAAAAUUUGCAAAUUGAUUUUUGCUUUUUAAAAUAAUUUUUGCUGAUGCUGUUGUUGUAAUCCACACUAUGCCACUGUCAAAUCAUCUUAA